rnacentral:rRNA from 1 species
GAUGAACGCUAGCGACAGGCCUAACACAUGCAAGUCGAGGGGCAUCGGGACGUAGCAAUACGUUGCCGGCGACCGGCGGAUGGGUGAGUAACGCGUAUGCAACCUACCCGUAGCAGGGGGAUAGCCCGUUGAAAGACGGAUUAAUACCCCGUAACACAGGGGCUCCGCAUGGAGAUUAUUGUUAAAGGGUCAUUUCUUUUAGAGGUGGUCCGGCUGCGGAUGGGCAUGCGUUCCAUUAGGUAGUUGGUGUAGGUAACAGCUCACCAAGCCGACGAUGGAUAGGGGAACGGAGAGGUUGGUCCCCCACACUGGUACUGAGACACGGACCAGACUCCUACGGGAGGCAGCAGUGAGGAAUCUUGGUCAAUGGACGCAAGUCUGAACCAGCCAUGUCGCGUGAAGGAGGACGGCCCUAAGGGUUGUAAACUUCUUUUGCAGUGGAAUAAAGUUUGCCACGAGUUGGCGAUUUGCAAGUACGCUGCGAAUAAGGAUCGGCUAACUCCGUGCCAGCAGCCGCGGUAAUACGGAGGAUCCGGGCGUUAUCCGGAUUUAUUGGGUUUAAAGGGUGCGCAGGCGGGGAUUUAGGUCGGCGGUGAAAUUUCGGGGCUCAACCUCGAUAGUGCCGUUGAAACCGUUUCUCUUGAGUGCGGAUGAGGUAGGCGGAAUUUGUGGUGUAGCGGUGAAAUGCGUAGAUAUCACAAGGAACACCGAUUGCGGAGGCAGCUUACUAAACCGUUACUGACGCUCAUGCACGAAGGCGUGGGGAUCAAACAGGAUUAGAUACCCUGGUAGUCCACGCAGUAAACGAUGAUUACUUGCUGUUUGCGAUACACAGUAAGCGGCGUAGCGAAAGCGUUAAGUAAUCCACCUGGGGAGUACGUUCGCAAGAAUGA